GAUGAAGAACGUAGCGAAAUGCGAUAAGUAAUGCGAAUUGCAGAAUUCAGUGAGUCAUCGAAUCUUUGAACGCACAUUGCGCCCUGUGGUAUUCCGCAGGGCAUGCCUGUUCGAGCGUCAUUUCAACCCUCAAGCUCUGCUUGGUGUUGGGCCCCGCCCGCUCGCGGCCGGCCCUAAAGACAGUGGCGGCAGCGCCUGGCUCCAAGCGUGGUACAGCUCUCGCUCUGGGGCUAGGCGGUAGCCUGCCAGAACCCCCCUUCUAUGGUUGACCUCGGAUCAGGUAGGGAUACCCGCUGAACUUAAGCAUAUCAAUAAGCGGAGGA
rnacentral:misc_RNA from 1 species